rnacentral:lncRNA from 1 species
GAGGGUGAAUUUAAGGAGGCAGAGUAUCCCAAGAAGAUUAAGGUGCUGUAUGGUUUUGGGAUCUUGCCUUGCAAAUGAGUUCCAUUUGACCAGAGGCAACAUAUUAUUUCUUUCACGAUAUUAUUAUUAUUUUUUAUUGUCUCCCUUUCUCUGGACCCCCUCCCCCACCCCAUCUCAUGCGGCAUAGUCCUUCACAGUCCUCUGACUAAGAUGAGGUAGGUUAAAUGCAUGCCUGGUUGAAAACUUUAAGAGUUCCCUGGUGGCUCAGCAGGUUAAGGAUCCGUUGUCACUGCUGUGGUUUGGGUUCACUCCCUGGCUUGGGAACUUCUGCAUCCCUCGGGCACAGCCUAAAACAAAAACAAUAACAACCCCCCCCUCAAAAAAAAAACCCACUUGGAUCUACUCCUUGAUGUCAAAUAAAUGAACAGUUUAGGGACUAAGAAACUCAGUACUAGUUUACAUAUUAAGUGGGUAGGUCUUAGCAGCACUAUUCAUAGUAACCCUAAACUGGGAACUAUCCAAAUGCCCUUACACAGGAGAAUAGAUCAAUUGCAGUAUAUGUGCCUAAUGGAAUUGUACGUAUCACUAAGAAUGAAUGAUCUACCACUUCUUGCUACCACAUGGAUGAAUAUCACAUGUAUAAUGUUGAACCAAAGGAGUUCCCCCAAGAGAGAAUGUACCCCAUGUGAGCCUCUUUAUAAACACGAGCACAAAAACAUGCAAAACCCAAUUUUUUUAGAAGCAAAAGCUUAUCUUCUUUGUUAGUAGUGGCCAAAAGGGAGCACAAGAGGGCCUUCCUAGGUGUAUGUAAUAUUUUUCUUUUGUGGGGGUUUUGGGGGGCUGCACCUGCCGCACAUGGAGGUUCCCAGGCUAGAGGUAGACCUGGGGCUGCAGCUGCCGGCCUGCACCACAGCCACAGAAGCACUGGAUCUGAGCCGUAUCUGUGACCUAUUCCACAGCUCGCAGCAACCCCAGAUCCUUAACCCACUGAACAAGGCCAGGGAUCAGAUCUGCCUCCUCAUGGAUACCAGUCGGGUUCGAAACCUGCCAAGCCACAACGGAACACCAGUAAUAUCUUACUUUUGGAUUUGCUCUUUUCCUGUAUCUCUAUUUCAAUUUUAAAAAUCCAAAAAUGUUUCAAUAGAUUUUCAAAAUAAUAACUUUCACAAAGAGAUUUAGCAAAUAAUCACCUCUAUAUAUCUGGGACCCCAGAUGGACUGGUUUUAGUACAAACACAGUUCAACAAAGAAAAAGAGCCUAAUGAGCAAAAGGAAAUGCAUUUUUGUCUCGCCUCUCCUUUCCCUUCUCAUACUGCUCUGUUCUGGAGCCUCCUAUUUGCUCAAGUGUAAUCUCUUUUUUCCUUCCAGCUCAUCGUUGAGUUCCAGGCCUUCAUGGUGAUUCCCUGGACUCUGGUGCUUUUCCAGUCUUGUCUAUUCCAAUUCAUUCUUCUUCCUCCUAUUCGAUAUUCUUAAACCUGACACUAUGCUUCUUCUGUAUUAAAAUGGGGUACAAUAAGCUCUACUAAGACAUAAUAAGAAGCCUUUGGAAGAGAGCCUUCUGAAGGUCAAGGGGAAAAGUUGAGCAGUAAUGACUUUCUAAAGGUCUCAUCUUAUCAAGGGAGGCAACAACAGGGGAUUACAAGCCCUUGCUGCGUAGAAGUAGCUCGCUUCUUGUUCGCUAUAAAUCAGAGGGGAAAAGUGAGUUUGCUUCUGACCUUUGGGCGAAGGAAGAUAACCAUCAGUGAAGGAGGAUAACCACUAGCAGAGUGAGCAUUUGCAAACUAACAAGGGGAAGGAAAAGCAGAGGCUUAGUGUGAGGAAGCCAGUACAAAGAAAAAGAUGAAACACAACGUUACAUCCGCAAGAUGAGAUGACAUAGAUUAAGUAAAUUCUUGCCUGGGCAAGAGCAGUCAUCUUCUAAUUGCUCUCUCUGCCAUGGUCUGCUUUUCGCAUACUCCCCCUUCACAGCAGAGCAAUGGUGAUCUCUUCAAAACAGAAGUCUGAUCACCACACCCUUUCUCCGGGUGCCCCAGCCCUGUCCCCUGAGUCAUCCACUGGAGAAGCCUAAGCUUAUCUCACUGAAGUCUACCUACCUUGCAGGCUUACCUGUAGCUACUCCUUCUCCAGCUUGAAACCUCUUGCUUUUCUGCCCAGUGUAUCCUUUCUUCUGGGGAUUGCUAACCUCCCCCCACCCCACAUGACUGCUUUACAAGCUUGGUGUUCCUGCCUUCAACCGCUGGCCACAGUUGCUUGGUUCUGGGAAGGGCACUGCUCCUGAGAUGGGACCGUUUCAGUUCCUUCUCUGAGCCAUCCUUCCCCUGCUGUGGUCCAGAAGUGAACACCCGGCCGAAGUGAGUAAAUGACAAUUCUUCUCUAGGGCAUUUUGGAACUGGAGCAGAGAAGGAGAAGUAGAGCUUUUUCAGGAGUUCAAGGGGUCAUAUUUAAAUUUUAAGCACCAUGUCAGUGGUGUUUUCUGAUACCUGGAAGAGAGUUAUAGAGGUACCAUUAGGAAAAUGAGAGAGUAGGAGGGAGAGAGAGAAACAUGAGAGGGACAGAGCGAUAUCAGGAGAAAGCAGAGCUGAAGCCCAGAGGUGCUGACAGCGUUCAAGUCUUGGUUAUAUCCAUAUGCCCAUUUCUAAAGGUCUGCAGCCUCCUUGCAAUCUACAAGACUCCCUNAUGGACUAUUACUCAGCCAUAAAAAAGAAUGAAAUAAUGCCACUGGAAGCAACAUGGAUGGACCUAGAGAUUAUCACACUCAGUGAAGUCAGCGAAAGACAAAUAGCAUGUGAUCUCACCUAUAUGUGGAAUAUGAAAAAUGUUGCAAAUGAACUUAUUUACAAAAGAGAAACAGACUCACAGACAUAGAAAACAAUCUUGUGGUCACCAAAGGGGAAAGGGGGGAGGGGAAAACUGAGAAUUUUGGAUUAACAGAUACACACGACUAUAUAUAAGGUAGAUAAACAAUAAGGACCCACUGUAUAGCAUGGGGAACUAUACUCAAUAUCUUAUAA